rnacentral:rRNA from 1 species
GAUGAACGCUGGCGGCGUGCCUAAUACAUGCAAGUCGAACGCUGGAAAUCUAGCUUGCUAGAUUGAAGGAGUGGCGAACGGGUGAGUAAUACAUAAGCAACCUACCCACGAAGACUGGGAUAAUCUCUGGAAACGGGGACUAAUACCGGAUAGGUAAUCGGAAGGCAUCUUCUGAUUAUUAAAGGUUAAAAACACUGGUGGAUGGGCUUAUGGCGCAUUAGUUAGUUGGCGAGGUAACGGCCCACCAAGACGAUGAUGCGUAGCCGGCCUGAGAGGGUGAACGGCCACAUUGGGACUGAGACACGGCCCAGACUCCUACGGGAGGCAGCAGUAGGGAAUUUUCGGCAAUGGGGGAAACCCUGACCGAGCAACGCCGCGUGAGUGAUGACGGCCUUCGGGUUGUAAAGCUCUGUUGUAAGGGAAGAACGGUAGAUAGAGAAUAUCUAAAUGACGGUACCUUACCAGAAAGCCACGGCUAACUACGUG